AUACUGGCCAGAGACCGAUAGCGCACAAGUAGAGUGAUCGAAAGAUGAAAAGCACUUUGGAAAGAGAGUCAAACAGCACGUGAAAUUGUUAAAAGGGAAGCGCUUGCAGCCAGACUUGCCUGUAGUUGCUCAUCCGGACUUUUGUCCGGUGCACUCUUCUAUAGGCAGGCCAGCAUCAGUUUGGGCGGUUGGAUAAAGGUCUCUGUCAUGUACCUCUCUUCGGGGAGAACUUAUAGGGGAGACGACAUGCAACCAGCCUGGACUGAGGUCCGCGCAUUUGCUAGGAUGCUGGCGUAAUGGCUGUAAGCGGCCCGUCUUGAAACACGGACC
rnacentral:rRNA from 1 species